rnacentral:rRNA from 1 species
CGCUAUCACUCCUACGGGGAGGCAGCAGUGAGGAAUAUUGGUCAAUGGUCGCAAGACUGAACCAGCCAUGCCGCGUGCAGGAAGACGGUCCUAUGGAUUGUAAACUGCUUUAUACAGGAAGAAACCCUCCCACGUGUGGGAGCUUGACGGUACUGUAGGAAUAAGGAUCGGCUAACUCCGUGCCAGCAGCCGCGGUAAUACGGAGGAUCCAAGCGUUAUCCGGAAUCAUUGGGUUUAAAGGGUCCGUAGGCGGCCUUAUAAGUCAGUGGUGAAAGCCCAUCGCUCAACGAUGGAACUGCCAUUGAUACUGUAAGGCUUGAAUUAUUGUGAAGUAACUAGAAUAUGUAGUGUAGCGGUGAAAAUGCUUAGAUAUUACAUGGAAUACCAAUUGCGAAGGCAGGUUACUAACAAUGGAUUGACGCUGAUGGACGAAAGCGUGGGGAGCGAACAGGAUUAGAUACCCUGGUAG